rnacentral:lncRNA from 1 species
AUUUGAAAAUACCCGAGUAGAGCUGCAAAUCAGUUGGGGAGAGAGGAUUUUGCCUGCCUUCUUCCUUAUUAUUUUGCUGCUGCAAGGCUGCUUUGCAAUCCGUAGGACCCCCACGCCUCCAACUACAGCCACUUUCUCAAGGAAGCAAGAGGAACUCACCAACCUGCUGUCCUGCUGCCCCUGUGCCCGGUUUGAGCGGUACUGCUGUUCGUGCAGCCAGAAGACGGGAUGCCCCCAUAGAUGGUUUGAAAAUAAG